AUUGAACGCUGGCGGCAGGCCUAACACAUGCAAGUCGAACGGUAACAGGAAACAGCUUGCUGUUUCGCUGACGAGUGGCGGACGGGUGAGUAAUGUCUGGGAAACUGCCUGAUGGAGGGGGAUAACUACUGGAAACGGUAGCUAAUACCGCAUAACGUCGCAAGACCAAAGAGGGGGACCUUCGGGCCUCUUGCCAUCGGAUGUGCCCAGAUGGGAUUAGCUAGUAGGUGGGGUAACGGCUCACCUAGGCGACGAUCCCUAGCUGGUCUGAGAGGAUGACCAGCCACACUGGAACUGAGACACGAUCCAGACUCCUACGGGAGGCAGCAGUGGGGAAUAUUGCACAAUGGGCGCAAGCCUGAUGCAGCCAUGCCGCGUGUAUGAAGAAGGCCUUCGGGUUGUAAAGUACUUUUAGCGGGGAGGAAGGGAGUAAAGUUAAUACCUUUACUCAUUGACGUUACCCGCAGAAGAAGCACCGGCUAACUCCGUG
rnacentral:rRNA from 1 species